rnacentral:rRNA from 1 species
AUCCCGCCGAAUAUUUCGUUCAAGCGGGAUUUGGUUGGCGCCCGACUUAUGUCAUGGCAUAAUCUCUUAUCCCGUCUGGAUCUGAUUAACCCGACGCAAGGCCGUGAUGUGUUUCGCUGUAACCUUACUACAUCGGGGUCUUUCAUGGUAGACUCUAUGUAUCGUGUGCUCAUACAUUCUGAGGUACCGGUGAGCAAUAACAAGAAAAUUUGGAAGGCAAAGAUUUCACUAAAAAUUAAAAUAUUCAUGUGGUAUCUUUGUAGAGGUGUUGUGCUAACCAAAGACAACUUCACACGACGCAACUGGCCAGGAAGUAAGAAGUGUUGUUUUUGUACUCAUGACGAGACAAUCAAACACCUCUUUUUUCAAUGCAAGUUUGCGCGUUCUACGUGGUCAGUCAUCCAAAUAGCGUCAAAUUUGUAUCCGCCCACAAGUGUUAGCCAAUAUUUUUGGUCAUUGUUUGGACGGUAUUUGAAAUAG